rnacentral:rRNA from 2 species
ACCUGGUUGAUCCUGCA